CCCCAUUUAAGCAAAAAUCACGCGUUUUCGCAAAUCCCCCAUUUAAGCGAAAAUCACGCGUUUUCUCUUCGCAAAUCCCCCAUUUAAGCGAAAAUCACGCAUUUUCAUCUUCGAGAAUCCCCCAUUUAAGCGAAAAUCACGCGUUUCCUCUUCGCAAAUCCCCCAUUUAAGCGAAAAUCACGCGUUUUCCUUCGAGAACCCCCAAUUUAACGAAAAUCACGCGUUUUCUCUUCGGAAAUCCCCCAUUUAAGCGAAAAUCACGCGUUUUCUCUUCGAGAAUCCCCCAUUUAACCAAAAAUCACGCGUUUUCUCUUCGAGAAUCCCCCAUUUAAGUGAAAAUCACACGUUUUCUCUUCGAAAUCCCCCAUUUAAGCGAAAAUCAUGCGUUUUCUCUUCGAGAAUCCCCCAUUUAAGCGAAAAUCACGCGUUUUCUCUUCGGAAUCCCCCAUUUAAGCGAAAAUCACGCGUUUUCUCUUCGAGAAUCCCCCAUUUAACCCGAAAAUCACGCGUUUCCUCUUAAAUAAUCCCCCAUUUAAGCCACAAAUCACGCGUUUUCUCUUCGAGAAUCCCCCAUUUAAGCAAAAAUCACGCGUUUUCUCUUCGAGAAUCCCCCAUUUAAGUGAAAUAACAUGUUUUCCUCUAUGCAAAUUUCCCAUUUAA
ensembl:lncRNA